rnacentral:misc_RNA from 1 species
AACUUUUGGCAAUGGAUCACAGCGGACGCCGCCGAUUCAGUACGUGCUGGACGGAGACGACGCGCAGCAGUACUACCUGGCCCCGUACUACGCGCGCGUCGAGGAGCACGUGCUCGGACUCUACAGCGCCAGUCCCUGGUCGCUCACGGUCGACAUCGGCCGCGUGCGACAGGGAUCAUCGACGAUGACGCUGGUCGCGCUGGCGGAGGGCGGCAGCGGUGAUUAUGCGUACCACUGGGGCGCCUUUCCGGAUAUGGGGCUCGGCGCGUUCGUCGAUCUCGAUCGCGGCGGCGCCUCGCAGGGAAAUCGCUCGGCGAGUCAGAUCGAACUACCGAAUGGCGCAUACGUGGUCGUGCUCAACGCGCUCGACCGCGCGACGGGUGCGUUUAAGCAUAUCAAUAAGCGGAGGCU